GGGCCCGCACAAGCGGUGGAGCAUGUGGUUUAAUUCGAUGCAACGCGAAGAACCUUAUCAGGGUUUGACAUAGUACGAAGUUUUUUGAAAAAAACCACCUUCGGGAACGUACAUACAGGUGGUGCAUGGCUGUCGUCAGCUCGUGUCGUGAGAUGUUGGGUUAAGUCCCGCAACGAGCGUAACCCUUGUUUUAGUUGCCUUUCGAGGAUAUUUAGAAAGACUGCCGAUUAUAAAUCGGAGGAAGGUAAGGACGACGUCAAGUCAUCAUGCCCCUUACACUCUGGGCUACACACGUGCUACAUUGGGUAGAACAAUAAGUUGCUAAGUUGCGAAACCAAGCGAAUCUUCAAAUCUACUCUAAGUUCGGAUUGUAGGCUGCAACUCGCCUGCAUGAAGUUGGAAUC
rnacentral:rRNA from 1 species